AACGUAGGGGGCAAGCGUUGCCCGGAAUCACUGGGCGUAAAGCGGGUGUAGGCGGUCCUUUAAGUCGGAUGUGAAAGUCCAGGGCUCAACCCUGGGAUGCCGGUCGAUACUGCCGGACUAGAGUUCGGAAGAGGCGAGUGGAAUUCCCGGUGUAGCGGUGAAAUGCGCAGAUAUCAGGAGGAACACCAAUUGCGAAGGCAGCUCGCUGGGACGUUACUGACGCUGAGACGCGAAAGCGUGGGGAGCAAACAGG
rnacentral:rRNA from 1 species